rnacentral:misc_RNA from 1 species
AUGACGGUGACUCCGUCGACUUCCGAUGUCGCUGACAAGGCAGUCUCGACGGAUGAUGGUGGCAGUGGAAUGGAGGUGGCACGUCUCGAAGCCGUCCUCGCUGCUCUGGUGGAAACGAAGGUGGAGGCGAUUAAAGCUUCCUCAGCUUUGAGUAAGCGUUCCGGUAGCGCGCCAGCCAGUCCACGUAAGCUCAGACUGACUUCCACUUCGACUGCCUCCUCUUCGCUGAAUCACCAGCAUCGAAGGAAGAGUCAUCAUCAUCAUCACCACCAUCACCAUCAUCACCAUCAUCAUCAUCAUCGUAAGAGGCAUGAUUCAGCUCCAUGCAACGACCUCAUUGAGGAUGCUACGGAUCAUCAGCAUAAUGUUCAUCACGGUAAAACAAGGCGAAGAGCUUCGGAAAGUCCACGACGUCCAAAAAAAAAGCGCAAACACUCGAAAAGCCCGAAUAUCCUUCACGGUGUAGUCCAGGACGUUCACACCGGUCUUGAUUCACGUUUAGAGCUUUUUGGAAUGGAUGGUGAUCAAGAUCUUGCACUGAUAAACUUCGAAAGGACUCGAGAAACUCUCAGCGAUUCCUGCGAAUAUCCGCAGUUGCACCGAAGUGCCUCCUACUUUCCCCAAAGUACAGCUCAAUUGAAGAUCCACUACGAUGACGACGAUUAUGUGGCGUUAAACGUAGCGGAUGAGUUGGAAGAGGAAGAGAUCUUCAGCGGUACCGAGAAGAUCGAGGCACCUCGAGAGAAGUAUCACAGGCCCCGUAGAAAGAGAAAACGGAAACGACGUAAGAUUAACAAUACGGGUCCUCAAGAAGAACUCGUCGAUCCUGAAGAACUUCCACCACGUGCACGUUGGACGAUCGUCGCAACCGCUUGCCUCCUUCUUACAAUGUCUUUGCUCUUGGUCGGAGUUACGCUCAGAAUGGCGCCAAUCAUCGACGAUAUGGUGCGCAGGGAGAACGAGGAGCUGUUGAAUUCUCUCAACAGAGUCUUCGUAACCGAAAACACGACAAUGCCUCUCUAAAGAAGACGUUCUAGAGCAGAAUAGAGUGGCCUGUUUUGAUGCGCCUUUCGAAGAAGUUUCGCAAGGCGAGAUGAAAAAGUACGAGAAGAGGUAUACCGGAGACAGAAGUCGAAUUUAAUUUGUCACUGUCGCCGCGUGCCGCGGCUAAUUUGUCUACUUUGCCGAUAGUACGAGCCUCGAACUACUUAGGUUCGUAGCGAGAUGGCGCCGAUGCUGUAAUUCUCUAUCCUCGUUUCGAAGGUACGUCCAACCUCACUUUUUCACCGAAUUACGUAAUUCGACGGACAUUCUCGGGAAGUGUCAAACUAAGUACAUAAGCGUCGAAAUGGAGGGAAACGGAUAAAAUAGGAUAAAAAAAUCCGCAAAAAAUUACUCGCGACGAUUCUAUUCGUCGCUUUUGUUAAGCUCGUUGUUGUUAUUGGCGCGGCAAAUGGAUGACCGUGUGAGCCUUGUUACGAUGUACGAAAU